rnacentral:rRNA from 1 species
AAGCUCGUAGUUGAAUUUCGGGAUCAAAUUGUCGGUCGUGCCUCGGUACGUACUGGCGUUAUUGGUUCCUCCCUUCUGAAGAACCACGAUGUCAUUAAUUUGGUGUCGCGGGGAAUCAGGACUGUUACUUUGAAAAAAUUAGAGUGUUUAAAGCAGGCUCGCGCUUGAAUACAUUAGCAUGGAAUAAUGAAAUAGGACGUUUGAUUCUAUUUUGUUGGUUUCUAGGAUCGACGUAAUGAUUAAUAGGGAUAGUUGGGGGCAUUAGUAUUCAAUUGUCAGAGGUGAAAUUCUUGGAUUUAUUGAAGACUAACUACUGCGAAAGCAUUUGCCAAGGAUGUUUUCAUUAAUCAGUGAACGAAAGUUAGGGGAUCGAAGACGAUCAGAUACCGUCGUAGUCUUAACCAUAAACUAUGCCGACUAGGGAUCGGAUGAUGUUAAUUUUUUAAUGACUCAUUCGGCGCCUUACGGGAAACCAAAGUGUUUGGGUUCCGGGGGGAGUAUGGUCGCAGGGCUGAAACUUAAAGGAAUUGACGGAAGGGCACCACCAGGGGUGGAGCCUGCGGCUUAAUUUGACUCAACACGGGGAAACUCUCCAGGUCCAGACAUAGUAAGGAUUGACAGAUCGAGAGCUCUUUCUUGAUUCUAUGGGUG